rnacentral:rRNA from 1 species
AGAGUUUGAUCCUGGCUCAGAUUGAACGCUGGCGGUAGGCUUAACACAUGCAAGUCGAGCGGUAACAGAGAAUAGCUUGCUAUUCUGCUGACGAGCGGCGGACGGGUGAGUAACGCGUAGGAAACUGCCUGGUAGUGGGGGAUAGCCCAGAGAAAUUUGGAUUAAUACCGCAUACGCCCUACGGGGGAAAAGGGGCUUCGGCUCUUGCUAUCAGAUGUAGAUAAGCCCGCGUCAGAUUAGCUUGUUGGUGAGGUAAUGGCUCACCAAGGCGACGAUCUUUAGCUGGUCUGAGAGGAUGAUCAGCCACACUGGAACUGAGACACGGUCCAGACUCCUACGGGAGGCAGCAGUGGGGAAUAUUGCACAAUGGACGAAAGUCUGAUGCAGCCAUACCGCGUGUGUGAAGAAGGCUUUCGGGUUGUAAAGCACUUUCAGUAGGGAGGAAGGAGUUGUAGUUAAUACCUGCAACUAUUGACGUUACCUACAGAAGAAGCACCGGGCUAACUCCGUGCCAGUAGCCGCGGUAAUACGGAGGGUCCGAGCGUUAAUCGGAAUUACUGGGCGUAAAGCGCGCGUAGGCGGUUAGAUCAGUCAGAUGUGAAAGCCCUGGGCUCAACCUGGGAACUGCAUCUGAUACUGUUUAACUAGAGUAUGGUAGAGGAGAGUGGAAUUUCCUGUGUAGCGGUGAAAUGCGUAGAUAUAGGAAGGAACACCAGUGGCGAAGGCGACUUACUGGACCAAUACUGACACUGAGGUGCGAAAGCGUGGGGAGCAAACGGGAUUAGAUACCCCGGUAGUCCACGCCGUAAACGAUGUCUACUAGCCGUUGGGAGACUUGAUCUCUUAGUGGCGCAGCUAACGCAAUAAGUAGACCGCCUGGGGAGUACGGCCGCAAGGUUAAAACUCAAAUGAAUUGACGGGGGCCCGCACAAGCGGUGGAGCAGUGGGUUUAAUUCGAUGCAACGCGAAGAGGCGAGAACCUUACCUGGUCUUGACAUCCUACGAACUUACUAGAGAUAGUUUGGUGCCUUCGGGAACGUAGUGACAGGUGCUGCAUGGCUGUCGUCAGCUCGUGUUGUGAAAUGUUGGGUUAAGUCCCGUAACGAGCGCAACCCUUGUCCUUAUUUGCCAGCACGUAAUGGUGGGAACUCUAAGGAGACUGCCGGUGACAAACCGGAGGAAGGUGGGGACGACGUCAAGUCAUCAUGGCCCUUACGAGCGGGGCUACACACGUGCUACAAUGGCCAGGACAAACGGUUGCAACCCCGCGAGGGUGAGCUAAUCCGAGAAACCUGGUCGUAGUCCGGAUCGCAGUCUGCAACUCGACUGCGUGAAGUCGGAAUCGCUAGUAAUCGUGAAUCAGAACGUCACGGUGAAUACGUUCCCGGGCCUUGUACACACCGCCCGUCACACCAUGGGAGUGGGUUGCAAAAGAAGUGGGUAGCAUAACCUUCGGGAGUGCGCUCACCACUUUGUGAUUCAUGACUGGGGUGAAGUCGUAACAAGGUAACC